UCCGGUAUGGUGUAACGGCUAACAUUGCCGCCUUUCACCAAUUAACUGCAUCGCGGCAGCUCGGGGUUCGAUUCCCCGUACCGGAA
rnacentral:tRNA from 1 species